CAAGGACACCUGGGCAGAAUCUGUUGCAUGUUAGAGACAGACAGAAGUGAGGUCUUCAUCUCAAAGUCAUAAAUAGCGAAAACACGGCCGAACACAUGCUGGAACCCGUGGACCUGCCAUAGCUCGCCAUCUUUCACGAUCAGAGAUCGUAGAGGAGGAGCCAGGAGCUGACCUUAACCACUCUGCUGUGUUUACAGUUGUUUGCGAAGGAGCUGCUCUCCUGCUCCUCCUGUGCUUGUAAAACAAUAAUCUUUUUGUUGGGAAGUCAUGAGACCAGAUCCCAGAUGCCGUGUCACUCGUCUACACUGCAUGGGAAAAACAAGUUGUUGUCAUGGCGUGUCAUUAACACGCCCCUCUGUUGAGACGGUCGUCUAAUCAGGAAAGCAUCAUGUCCUCCAGACAACAGGGGGCACCGGAUCAGAAAACAGACCAUUACUGGAGGGAGAAAGAGAAUUAGGCCCCCAUUGCAUGGAUCUUAAGCUGGUGUGUGCACCUGCAAACCUCUGCUGCUUCAUAAAAGUGCCUAGUGCAAACAGCUGGCAGGUGCCUCUCGAAAUUUUAAACAUUGUGUUCUGCACACACACCCAGCGUGUACACCUGCUUGGUGAUGAUCUUGUUGAUCUGUGGCAGCUCUUUGUUUCCUGCCAAGAACACAAUUAGGGACACGUGAAAGCAAGUGGAAAUGAUUCGUCCACAGUUCCAACUACAGGGUCAGAGAGAAAAGGCAACUCCUGCGAAGACAAGAGCGCGAGUAUGCACGCAUUAAUUGUUGCAGACAGUGGGCACAAAGCCAGCGGGGGAGGUGGAGCCUGGGUUGGUGCAGGGACCAUGUGGUCUUCUCUCAUGGGGAACAUGCACAUGUGCAGCACCAUGAUGUGAUGUGAGGAUCAGCAAUCUUCAACAACCUCCACCGGACUGAAUGUUACCUGGAAGAAAGUCAUAAUCCCGCUCUACAGCACCAUCAUCUACUGUAUCGUCCACCGUCUUCUGACUGAACACUGUGACUGUGUAUGAUCCAUUUAAAAGAAUGAAGCUGUUUAUAUUUGAAAACACACAGCACCAUGCACCUGAUUGCACAAGUACUUUAUGUUUUUAUGCUUUUCUGAAGGUUUUUUUGAGCAAACAUUAACUCUGUUCUUCUUUAAUGUUUCUUUUCUUUACGUUGAGUUAACCAAAUACUGUGCACUUAGCGCCUCAGAUGGAUAACACAUGAUUAAAGGGUCACUUUCCUCACUUAUCAAAGCGCUCAGUCCACAAAGGAAUGCAAUUCAGAAACUGAGCCUUACUUUUUAUUCAAUCACUCAGAGAACUGGGUGCUCAGAGCCUCAUCUCUUCUGAUUGGCUAACCGAGAGAUGGGUUUUGGUCCUUAAAACCACAAAUAUGUUUUCUUAUGGAUCGGCAUUUCAACAUAAAACGCAAGAAAAGUAUAAAAUAUGGGACCUUUAAAAACAUUCAACAGCAGCUUGUCCUCCCAGAAACAAUGUCGUGGUCACUGGAUUAAUCACAGAUUCACAUGACGUCAACCAUCUUUCCACUGAAGAAAUAGUCCCUUUAAAGUUUACAGUCAUCAGUAACCUCACCAUUGUACUUUACAGCAUGUUGUUUUCGACUUCAUUACUUUUGAACGCUUUGAAAUCCCACUCACCUGUGUCGUGUUUUUGUGUCAGCAGAAGUUUCAGACACAGAAAUCUCAAAACCUCAGCACAUAAAACUGAAACUCUCUGCAUGACUCGAUACCACUAGAGAUAAGUAAGCAAAUAUUUUUGUGGUUUAAAUCAACCUGUAAAUAUUUCAAUCAACAGUUCUUUAACUAUGGCUGUUUUCUGGAACAGCGUUUGUGUGCACCGCUCAGCCGACACUACAUAUUCAUAAACACAUGAUGUAUUUGCACUUUUUCGUUCAUGUAAAAUUAUCCUGUUAGUUUUGUACAUUCAAUUCAAUUCACAUGUUGUGAGGACAGUGAUUUAGCCGUAUGAGAGGUAAUCAUCAGAUUCAGAAGGUGAAAAUCGUGAUUCCUCUUUGCGACAAUAUGACUGUGAUGGAUGGAAAUGUUUUGUUUGUCUGCACUUUAGAAAGUAUUUUAUGGUUUUAUUAUUAUUCCUCACCUCAAAUGCAAAUUAAAAGGUUUCAUUCCUGAAUAUUUUUUUCUUUCCGAAACUCCGACCAGAUGUUCACUGUUGAAAAUGGUGAAAAUGCAUUUCAUUUCAUUUUUAUGGGACAGAAAUCUUUAUUUUCUUUUAAUCAUCCUGUGAUGCUGCAGAUUUAUUUACUGAUCGGAAACCUCAGAUAUAAAGGCACAUAAUGUAAAUUUUGUGUCCAUAAAGAUUUAGGUCCUUUCUGCUUGAAUGUAAAUUAUUUUUUUCUCUACUGACAGUAUGUAAAUAUGGACUUGUGAAACAUGAAUAACUUAGAUUUAGCUGUUUAUCUUAGUAUUAAAGUACAGCUUAAAUAAUGUGGAAGUGAGAGCAGGUUCCUCUCACACUUUUGGUUCACGAACUGUGCCUUUAAUUUCACCUCUGCGUAGGUGGACGUCUCAUUCUGGAAUGAAACUCCUCUGCUCUUUGUUCUCAUGGAUGUAUCUAUACAAAUGUAAAUAAGGUUUUAUCCUGACUUUAACAACAUCCACCGUGUUGUACACUUCUUACAAUCGUUCCCCUCCUUUAAAUCCCUCCCUACACCCUCAAGCUAUGAUUUUGGAAUCAGACACGUUGCCCAAAAAGCUUUUUCUAUUGCCUCGAAUGCUUUCAAUAGAACCAGAAGCUUGUGGGCGGGCGUGUUUUUUUUCUUUCUCUCUCUCUCUCUCUCUCUCUACAGUUGUUGAAUGUCUCUAGGGAGUCUGAUGGAUUAUGGAGGGGAUUUCUGUUGGAUUUCAGUGAAAUAAAGACGACUGUUUUAACCGUU